rnacentral:lncRNA from 1 species
UUUGUUUUCUUUACCAGUUUUGCAUGGCCAUUGUGUACAACCAUGUUAUCUGUCGCUUGAUGAAACAAGAAUAUGAUGUUUAUGAUUACAGACGAGUGAGUCAUAUCUCAUGAUGAGCCAUUUCGCCUUCCUUUAUGUAGUGUAAAUUUAACCAUUGACAUAUCACUCGGAGAAACAUUUUUAGCUGGGGGAAGGAAGAGAAGAAGGGUGCUUGAAUGGUAAAAAAAAGAAGUCGUCAAUGCAACCCGUUGCAACUCACAGGUGUUCUACUGAUGCAGAGGUACCUUUCCUUGCUUGGGAGUUAUAUGUGGUUCUAUUUGCUAUAUCUGUUUUAGGUUUAGACUGAUCUUGCAUGCUAAGCUUUUUAGUGUAUAACCAGUUUGUAGGUCCUACUAUUUGAUCACCGGAUGCAACGGAUGGGUGCCGGAUGGCGUCUUUGGCGUUUCGUUGAGGUACGACCAAACUACACUGCAGUUCGGUCUAGCCAAAGUUAUGCAUGCUAUUUACCUCUACUUUGCGUGUGAAUGUCCCUGAAACAUGGUUUUGUUUGACUCUAGGUUGAGGACAAUAAACAUGAUAACUCAAUCACUGUUAUCAGAACAAGGUAUGCACACUGAUGGAGAUGAACCCAGUGACGGCGAGCGCGGGGGGCACGAGCACCAGGCUGAACAGCACGAUGAGAGGCAUCACAAUGCGACACCGACGAGGCUAUCUACCAGGACGAGGCCGGAGAGGCCCAGCAGCAUGCUGCCAACACUAUUGUAUGAAUAUGAUCAAGUGGUGUGUUGUGGGUGCAGUUUGCCUGUAUCCUUUUUUAUUUGUCAGGUUUCUGUCUUCCUGGCUGGAUUGUGUCACUUCCAUUUAAUCAAAAGAGUUU